rnacentral:rRNA from 1 species
GGAAUCUUGGACAAUGGGCGCAAGCCUGAUCCAGCCAUGCCGCGUGGAUGAUGAAGGCCCUAGGGUUGUAAAAUCCUUUCAGCGGGGCCGAUAAUGACGGUACCCGCAGAAGAAGCUCCGGCUACCUUCGUGCCAGCAGCCGCGGUAAUACGAAGGGGGCUAGCGUUGUUCGGAUUUACUGGGCGUAAAGCGCGUGUAGGCGGGCUGGAAAGUUGGGGGUGAAAUCCCGAGGCUCAACCUCGGAACUGCCUCCAAAACUUCCAGCCUGGACUCAAGCAGAGGCAAGUGGAAUUGCGAGUGUAGAGGUGAAAUUCGUAGAUAUUCGCAGGAACACCAGUGGCGAAGGCGACUUGCUGGGCUUGUAGUGACGCUGAGGCACGAAAGCAUGGGUAGCGAAC